rnacentral:rRNA from 1 species
AUUGAACGCUGGCGGCAUGCUUUACACAUGCAAGUCGAACGGUAACAGGCCUUCGGGUGCUGCCGAGUGGCGAACGGGUGAGUAAUGCAUCGGAACGUGCCCAGAGGUGGGGGAUAACGCAGCGAAAGCUGUGCUAAUACCGCAUGUGAUCUGAGGAUGAAAGCGGGGGACCAGGCAGCAAUGUUUGGCCUCGCGCCUUUGGAGCGGCCGAUGUCAGAUUAGGUAGUUGGUGGGGUAAAGGCCUACCAAGCCGACGAUCUGUAGCUGGUCUGAGAGGACGACCAGCCACACUGGGACUGAGACACGGCCCAGACUCCUACGGGAGGCAGCAGUGGGGAAUUUUGGACAAUGGGCGCAAGCCUGAUCCAGCAAUGCCGCGUGCGGGAAGAAGGCCUUCGGGUUGUAAACCGCUUUUGUACGGAACGAAAAGGCUCUGGCUAAUACCUGGGGCUGAUGACGGUACCGGAAGAAUAAGCACCGGCUAACUACGUG